GGGUGUCGCGCAGUGGUCGGCUAUGUUUUGAUGCAGUUAAAUGCUGGAAAUGACAUUUAGCCAUAAAGAUAAUCGUCACAAGUGCAUAUAUGUGUGUUCGAAAAAUGUCGACUUAUUGUGUAAAAAUGCUUGCGUUUGUUUAAUCUAGCGCUUAAAGCUACUAUUCCUCCCAGUUGUUUUGCCAGCUGGCAUGGCGUGAAUUCCGCAAACCCGAAGGAACCAAUGUCAAGAAUGCGUCGAGCUAGCUGACAUGGUAUUUUCAUACUGAAUUCUGGUUAUUAUUAGCGAUGAACGUAACGUCGUCCAGACCAGCCGCUUUCCUCUCGUUUUCUUCUGGAUCCGACAGAUAAAAGUGCUCGUGAAAAACUUCUCCCAGCGCCGUCCUGAUCCGGGACGAGCCUGUAAUGGACGCAGCAGCGCAGACGGGUUUAUAGCCACAUUCAGGCCCCCAAACACACACAACGGUGGCUGUCUUUCUUUUCUAUGACACAUCCAGUUUAUGCCCAGCUAGAUUCGGUGGAAUCGCUCCUGGACGAACUCCCAUAUAUGUUUUAUUUGGGUCUGUUCUUUGUUAACGUCCUCAUCCUUUACUAUGCCUUUCUGAUGGAGUACAUCGUGCUGAACGUGGGGAUCGUGUUCCUGCCCGAGGACAUGGACCAGGCUCUGGUGGACCUGGGGGUGCUGUCCGACCCGGCCUCCCUGCCCUACGACACCGACACGGAGCUGGACGUGUUCGAGGGAUAUCUGGAGUGACUGAUGGUGGGAGACAUGUCCGGGACAAAGGGGGCCAUCGUGGGGGAAAGUGUGAGGAGGAACACGCCUCAAAGUGGACGCUGUUGUUGCAGUUUUUCUCUUUCACAGAGACUUUUGGUCAAAAAGUUGUCACGGCUCAAAAGAACUGUGCCUGAGGGAGAGAUUCAACACCGCUUGCCAUAUGAUCACCAGCUGGACGGAUGGAAAGAGCUUUCUGCACUAGAUCAUCUGUGUUGACUCCUGCUGGACUCAGCCGGGCUGGUUAUGGCACCGGGGACACUCACUUUGGACAUAAGGAGUUGUGCAGCACGCGGGGAGCAGCAGGUGUUCUCUUUAUCUGAAGGCUGGAGCUGCGCUGUUGACGUCCAGUACCCUGACAUUUUACAUUAAGCAAUUAUCCAGGCUUUACAGGAUAUGGUGGUUCAAACAUUUCAAAAGAACUGGCAGGAAGAUAGCACUUAUGUAGGCAUGUGUCAUACUUAAUCAUUCAGAGAAUUCCUUUUUUUUUUUUUCUUCUUCAAUCUAUAAUUCAGGACACAUUAUCCAUUGCUUCUUGAUAGUUUCAUUCUCAAAGUUUAAAUUUGUGUCUUUUGAGGCUAUCCAUGCUUUAUUUCAACAUCAGGGACAUGCACUCUCUCAGGAGUAAAGAAUAGUGAGCGCACUGGCAAGACCUCACACACUGGAGAUAGGCUGCAGAAUGGAGAAGAAUUAAGCUGAUUUUUCAUGGUGUACUUGCCACUUUUUCUUUUUAACUCUCAACCAGAAUGUAUUCAAGUUAACAUGCUCAAUCUAUACCAUGAGCAAUUGGGUUCAAGUACAUUUUCAUUUCCCACUUGAUUCAUUGUGGCAAAAUGUGCCAAAUGUCAUAAAAGAAAACCUCAAAAGAAGUCCAUAAAACUUGCCAUCCUCUGUUCAUCGUGAAUGCUUUCAGGAUGACUCAGAAGACUCUAUGCAUGAUGCUGUGUUUUUAGUUUAGCUUUUUUUUUUAACUGAGGUUAAUUGUGUUUAAAUUGUUACAGUUUUAGAAUUUCUUUUUAUGAAUUGUAUGUUAUGAAAAGCAAUAAUAAAAUUCAAGGAAGGGGUUAAUUAUCUGUUAAUGUUAUCAUUCAAGUAUUGGGUUAUUGUCACCCUUGUGCUUGGUUUGGUUUGGAAUACAAACUUGCAUCAGCGUUGACUGUUAAGGGAUAGUUAAGUUUUGGACAAAGUUUGAAUAUAUUGUACAUGUUGCAGAUCCAAGAGGGCUGAUUUCAGUCCAGCUAAUGAUUAACGUUUGGAUGAGAAGUGUCAAUAUCAGUCUACCAGAAUAUGCAAAUUGUGUAAGAUAUUUGUUAAAUUGUGGUUGUAAACCAAAUAAAUGGAGCUGUAGAGACAGAAGGGAAAAAAAGUCUCAAACUACGCAUGCAUGCAUGUUUCAGCUGAGGUUAUCUUGGUUUGGCCUGGUGGCUGGAACAAGACAGACUUUCACCACUCUGCCAAGCUGCACUCAGUUUGUAUUUGAACAUCAUGUCUUGUCAGCUGAAACAGCCCUACAGCUAAACCGAUAUCAGCAGUGAAGAACAAAACAUGCUGCUAUCAAAUGCUGAUUUAAAUAAAACCUUUUAUUGUAAUUUAGGGGGGACUGAUAUAGGGUUCUCUUGGGCCAGUGCCAUCUGUUAUGACAUCAGAAGCCAUUUACAUUUUUUUUGGUCAAUAUGUUGGGUCAGUUUUCAAUUUUCCUGUCCAUUUGAUCAGACAUAACUAGUUUGUCAAGCCAUACUCAUUUACUUUGUAAAUGUUUUUGCCUGUGAAAUGGGUGUGGUACUCCUCCCAUUCUCAGGCAUUUCCGCAGAAAUUACCAAAUCAAUCACAACAAGCAAGGAUGGGUUUUUAAGUGAUUAAUCAUAGAGCAUAACCUAAGAGCUACGUUUCAAAAUAUCCAAGAUGGCCACAGAGUUGCUAAAAACCUAUCAGAUCAAAUCAAUACGUUUUUACUUCCAAACUGACAACAGUCCCUCAUUAUAUUGUGUUAGUCCAGCUGUCACUCUACCUAAGUCACUGGUUCGUUUCUCUGAUUGGUUGUUUUUCUAUCUAGAGGUCAUGUUUUCUGUUAGUUGAAAGUUUCUCCUGGAAAUUUAACGUCUCAACCAGACUUUUCCAGACUGAUUCUUUGUAUCGAAGAGGGAAAGAUUAAGGGUUGCAUGUGACAGUUUAAAAAUAACAUAUGUGGUAACCAUAGAUAUUUAUUAAUUAAAUUACAUUUGAAUUUAUAAAAAAAAGAAGGAAGAAGAUGGGACAGUAAUACAUGUUAGCAGCAAAGGAAAGCCCACAAAUUAACUAAUUCGAUUUUCUCAAGCGCCGUCCAAUGUCAGUUAAAAAAAGGCAUUAAAGGUUGAGUAGAAUAUUUUUUUCUGAUGAGUUUUUUUUUAGACACCAUCAGAGAACAAUUAUGUGAACGCAUGUCAGCAAAAAAUACGGAUCAUCUGUAAAAAGAACAGAGCUCUAAAAAAAAAGCAAAAACAAAACAAUCCUUGUCUGAAUCGUCUGAACAGUUCAUGUGCUUUGGUGGGGAUUUGGGAGGCAGGUCCUGAGGGAACAUUAAUGCACUUUAUUUAUUCUUUUUUUUCUCAAAAUAUUCAACCCUAGUGCAUUCACACAAGAGCAUUGCAGCACGAUGUUUCUGACGUACCAUUGUUGAUUGUAUAGGUUGUACCACUGAACCACUCAGUGCUUAAAACUGCGUGCGAUUUCAUUGCUGAGCAUCAGCUGUGUAUCCACAGUUAUAUCAACCGAAGCUUGUGUUGGCAGCUGAAAAGUUGUACUUUUUUUCCAACUUCUGACAGGAACAACACUUCCAUAACCACACAAAGGACUCAGUUUAGUUUGGCAGUGCCUUACGUCCCUCCACUCAGAGUCAAUGGACACCAACUCAAAAUCUUAAAAAUAAUAUUUGUCUUAUUUCUAGUUAAAAUGUCUCAUUUUUAGUAAAAAAAAAAAUCUCAUUACACUUAAAACAAGAACUUGAAAAAAACAACAAUUUUCCCCUG